GCGGCAUGCUUUACACAUGCAAGUCGAACGGCAGCGCGGGGCAACCUGGCGGCGAGUGGCGAACGGGUGAGUAAUAUAUCGGAACGUACCCAAGAGUGGGGGAUAACGUAGCGAAAGUUACGCUAAUACCGCAUACGAUCUAUGGAUGAAAGUGGGGGAUCGCAAGACCUCAUGCUCCUGGAGCGGCCGAUAUCUGAUUAGCUAGUUGGUGAGGUAAAGGCUCACCAAGGCGACGAUCAGUAGCUGGUCUGAGAGGACGACCAGCCACACUGGGACUGAGACACGGCCCAGACUCCUACGGGAGGCAGCAGUGGGGAAUUUUGGACAAUGGGCGCAAGCCUGAUCCAGCAAUGCCGCGUGAGUGAAGAAGGCCUUCGGGUUGUAAAGCUCUUUUGUCAGGGAAGAA
rnacentral:rRNA from 1 species